rnacentral:RNase_P_RNA from 1 species
GAAGCAGGCCAGACAAUCGCUGGCUGUUACAGCAAUGUAGCAGCGGGAGGAAGGUCCGGACUCCACAGAGCAGGGUGACGGCUAACGGCCGUACGCUGAAAGCCGCAAGGUAUAAGGCGAGGAAUAGGGCCACAGAGACGAGCGUAUUCAGUUACGGUGAAACGCGGUAACCUCCACCCGGAGCAAUUUCAAAUAGGCACGCAUUGAUGUGGCUCGCGGAGCGUGCGGGUAGAAAGCUUGAGCACUGGAGCAAUCCAGCGCCUAGAGGAAUGAUUGUCAUAGUCUGAGUGAUCAGACCGUAACAGAAUCCGGCCUACCGGCCUGCUUUAUUU